ensembl:misc_RNA 7SK 7SK RNA
GGAUGUGAGGGCGAUUUGGCUGCAACCUCUAUCACCCCAUUAAUCGCCAGGAUUGAUUGGGCAGAUUUGUCUGGCUAAGUGGGUGUCCCCUUCUUCCUUCACUGUUCCAUGUGCAUUCCUCCCAAAGCUGCACACUGGGUCAAAGGACGACCUACCCUGGUAGGGGAGGACCAGUCUUCCGUCAAGGGCAUUUGACUAGCUGCACUCCCUUGCUAGAACCUCCAAACAAGCUCUCAAGGUCUAUUCGUAGGAGACCUUAGGGUAGUCAAGCUUUCAAGACUCCAGACACAUCCACAUGAGGUGCUGCAUGUGGCAGUCUGCCUUAAAAA